rnacentral:rRNA from 1 species
AGCAUAUCAAUAAGCGGAGGAAAAGAAACCAACCGGGAUUGCCCUAGUAACGGCGAGUGAAGCGGCAAGAGCUCAAAUUUGAAAGCUGGCCCCCUCGGGGUCCGCAUUGUAAUUUGUAGAGGAUGCUUCGGGAGCGGUCCCCAUCUAAGUGCCCUGGAACGGGCCGUCAUAGAGGGUGAGAAUCCCGUAUGGGAUGGGGUGCCCGCGCCCGUGUGAAGCUCCUUCGACGAGUCGAGUUGUUUGGGAAUGCAGCUCUAAUUGGGUGGUAAAUUUCAUCUAAAGCUAAAUAUUGGCCGGAGACCGAUAGCGCACAAGUAGAGUGAUCGAAAGAUGAAAAGCACUUUGAAAAGAGAGUUAAACAGCACGUGAAAUUGUUGAAAGGGAAGCGCUUGCGAUCAGACUCGCUCGCGGGGUUCAGCCGGCCUUCGGGCCGGUGUACUUCCCCGCGGGCGGGCCAGCGUCGGUUUGGGCGGCCGGUCAAAGGCCCCUGGAAUGUAACGCCUCUCGGGGCGUCUUAUAGCCAGGGGUGCCAUGCGGCCUGCCCGGACCGAGGAACGCGCUUCGGCUCGGACGCUGGCAUAAUGGUCGUAAGCGACCCGUCUUGAAACACGGACCAAGGAGUCUAACAUCUACGCGAGUGUUCGGGUGUCAAACCCGUGCGCGCAGUGAAAGCGAACGGAGGUGGGAACCCCUCGGGGUGCACCAUCGACCGAUCCUGAAGUCUUCGGAUGGAUUUGAGUAAGAGCGUAGCUGUUGGGACCCGAAAGAUGGUGAACUAUGCCUGAAUAGGGCGAAGCCAGAGGAAACUCUGGUGGAGGCUCGCAGCGGUUCUGACGUGCAAAUCGAUCGUCAAAUUUGGGUAUAGGGGCGAAAGACUAAUCGAACCAUCUAGUAGCUGGUUCCUGCCGAG